rnacentral:rRNA from 1 species
AUUGCCCUAGUAACGGCGAGUGAAGCGGCAACAGCUCAAAUUUGAAAUCUGGCUUCGGCCCGAGUUGUAAUUUGUAGAGGAAGCUUUUGGUGAGGCACCUUCUGAGUCCCCUGGAACGGGGCGCCAUAGAGGGUGAGAGCCCCGUAUAGUCGGAUGCCGAUCCAAUGUAAAGCUCCUUCGACGAGUCGAGUAGUUUGGGAAUGCUGCUCAAAAUGGGAGGUAAAUUUCUUCUAAAGCUAAAUACCGGCCAGAGACCGAUAGCGCACAAGUAGAGUGAUCGAAAGAUGAAAAGCACUUUGAAAAGAGGGUUAAAUAGCACGUGAAAUUGUUGAAAGGGAAGCGUUUGUGACCAGACUUGCGCCGUUCCGAUCAUCCGGUGUUCUCACCGGUGCACUCGGGACGGCUCAGGCCAGCAUCGGUUUUGGUGGGGGGAUAAAGGUCCGGGGAACGUAGCUCCUUCGGGAGUGUUAUAGCCCCGGGCGUAAUGCCCUCGCCGGGACCGAGGUUCGCGCAUCUGCAAGGAUGCUGGCGUAAUGGUCAUCAACGACCCGUCUUGAAACACGGACCAAGGAGUCAAGGUUUUGCGCGAGUGUUUGGGUGUAAAACCCGCACGCGUAAUGAAAGUGAACGUAGGUGAGAGCUUCGGCGCAUCAUCGACCGAUCCUGAUGUAUUCGGAUGGAUUUGAGUAAGAGCGUUAAGCCUUGGACCCGAAAGAUGGUGAACUAUGCUUGGAUAGGGUGAAGCCAGAGGAAACUCUGGUGGAGGCUCGCAGCGGUUCUGACGUGCAAAUCGAUCGUCAAAUCUGAGCAUGGGGGCGAAAGACUA